CCUACGGGAGGCAGCAGUGGGGAAUCUUGUGCAAUGGACGAAAGUCUGACACAGCCACGCCGCGUGCGGGAAGAAGGCCUUCGGGUUGUAAACCGCUUUCAGCAGGAACGAAAAUGACGGUACCUGCAGAAGAAGAUGCGGCCAACUACGUGCCAGCAGCCGCGGUGAUACGUAGGCAUCAAGCGUUGUCCGGAUUUAUUGGGCGUAAAGAGCUCGUAGGCGGUUCAGCAAGUCGGGUGUGAAAACUCUGGGCUUAACCCAGAGCCUGCACUCGAAACUGCUGUGACUAGAGUUCGGUAGGGGAGCAGGGAAUUCCUAGUGUAGCGGUGAAAUGCGCAGAUAUUAGGAGGAACACCAAUGGCGAAGGCACUGCUCUGGGCCGAUACUGACGCUGAGGAGCGAGAGCGUGGGUAGCAAACAGGAUUAGAUACCCUGGUAGUCCACGCCGUAAACGAUGGGCACUAGGUGUGGGUCUCUAACCAACGAGAUCUGCGCCGUCGCUAACGCAUUAAGUGCCCCGCCUGGGGGAGGUACGGUCGUCGAGACGUUAAACUUACGUAAGAAGUUAGACGGCGNGAGAGNGCGACGGACGACGACGAGGGAGGAGG
rnacentral:rRNA from 1 species